rnacentral:tRNA from 1 species
UCCUUGGCAGUCUAGUGGUUCAGACUCUGAGCUUUCACUGCAGAGGAUGUGGGUUCAAUCCCUGCUCAGGGAA